UGGUAGCGUGCCCUGAAGUGACACCGCGCGCGCAAGGGGAGAAUGGGAGGAGACGCCGGCGUAUGCUGACCGGUGUUCGGUUUCACCAGCUCACACGUGACAGCAAUGGCUGCUUGUCUGCUCUGUGCAGUGCAUCAUUCCUCCGCUGCACAGCGAAUGUAAGCUAAAUCAGUUUUCUCGCUUCGUUGAACUGUUGGUGCGGACAUUUAGCACCCGCCGAGGCGAAACUCCUCUCCGCGUUGCAUCGACCAGCUCACCGGAUGUGAACAACCCCAUUCGGGAGAGAAAUUAAAGCGUCUCGGGCUUCAACUUCCACCAACCAACACAGCGGUAGGAGGAGUCAACAGGUGUUUCUCUCUGGUGUGGUGCUGUUCCUUUGGCUGUCUGAAGAGAUUUAAGACGGAGAAAUCCAGCAGCAGGUUACCGUGUCGGACUGACUCGCUCGGACAGGUUUGACCCCUCCGGAGCACUGCUUCUCAUUUCCUCUUGCGUCACGUCACCUGAGAUCAGGCCCUUGUGUAG